CCCUGGUUGAUCCUGCCAGAAGUUAUAUGCUUGUCUCAAAGAUUAAGCCAUGCAUGUCUCAGUGCAAGCCGUAUUAGGGCGAUACCGCGAAUGGCUCAAUAUAUCAGUUUUGGUUCCUUAGAUCUUACUCAGUUACUUGGAUAACUGUGGUAAUUCUAGAGCUAAUACAUGCAAUCAGAACUCUGACCAGUGAUGGGACGAGUGCUUUUAUUAGAUCAAAACCAAUCGACGGAGGGCCUCGCGUUCGAAGUCGUUAAUUUUGAUGAAUCUGGAUAACUUUUGCCGAUCGCACGGUCCAGCACCGGCGACGCAUCUUUCAAAUGUCUGCCUUAUCAACUUUCGAUGGUAGUUUCUGCGACUACCAUGGUUGUCACGGGUAACGGGGAAUCAGGGUUCGAUUCCGGAGAGGGAGCCUGAGAAACGGCUACCACAUCCAAGGAAGGCAGCAGGCGCGCAAAUUACCCACUCCCGGCACGGGGAGGUAGUGACGAAAAAUAACGAUACGGGACUCUUACGAGGCCUCGUAAUCGGAAUGAGUACACUUUAAAUAUUUUAACGAGGAACAAUUGGAGGGCAAGUCUGGUGCCAGCAGCCGCGGUAAUUCCAGCUCCAAUAGCGUAUACUAAAAUUGUUGCGGUUAAAAAGCUCGUAGUUGCAUUUGUGCGCCGCGCUGUCGGUGCACCGCAUCCGCGGUGAUACUGACACGUUUGCGGAGCAUAUCGUCGGUGAGCCGACGGUCAAACGUCGGUUCAAUAUCAAAAUCCUAUCGCGGUGCUCUUCAGUGAGUGUCGAGAUGGGCCGACAAUUUUACUUUGAACAAAUUAGAGUGCUCAAAGCGGGCUCAAAAUGCUGCUUGAAUAUUUCGUGCAUGGAAUAAUAGAAUAUGAUCUCGGUUCUAUUUUGUUGGUUUUCAGAACUCCGAGGUAAUGAUUAAUAGGGAUAACUGGGGGCAUUCGUAUUGCGACGUUAGAGGUGAAAUUCUUGGAUCGUCGCAAGACGAACAUCAGCGAAAGCAUUUGCCAAAGGUGUUUUCAUCAAUCAAGAACGAAAGUUAGAGGUUCGAAGGCGAUUAGAUACCGCCCUAGUUCUAACCGUAAAUAUGUCAUCUAGCGAUCCGCCGACGUUACUACAAUGGCUCGGCGGGCAGCUUUCGGGAAACCAAAGAUUUUGGACUCCGGGGGGAGUAUGGUUGCAAAGCUGAAACUUAAAGGAAUUGACGGAAGGGCACCACCAGGAGUGGAGCCUGCGGCUUAAUUUGACCGCCAACACGGGAAAUCUCACCAGGCCCGGACACCGGAAGGAUUGACAGAUUAACAGCUCUUUCUUGAUUCGGUGGGUGGUGGUGCAUGGCCGUUCUUAGUUGGUGGAGCGAUUUGUCUGGUUAAUUCCGGUAACGAACGAGACUCUAGCCUGCUAAAUAGGCGUCGUCAUUUAGGUGUGCGUGGCUCACGUCACGCAACUCACUGGCGACGUAUUAAAAUUCUUCUUAGAGGGACCGGCGGCUUCGAGCCGCACGAGAUUGAGCAAUAACAGGUCUGUGAUGCCCUUAGAUGUCCUGGGCCGCACGCGCGCUACACUGAAGGAAUCAGCAUGUUCUCCCAGGCCUAGAGGCCCGGGCAACCCGUUGAAACUCCUUCGUGCUGGGGAUUGGGGUUUGCAAUUAUCCCCCAUAAACGAGGAAUUCCUAGUAAGCGCGAGUCAUAAGCUCGCGUUGAUUACGUCCCUGCCCUUUGUACACACCGCCCGUCGCUACUACCGAUUGAAUGAUUUAGUGAGGUCUUCGGACCGACACGCGGUGGCUUCACGGCCGUCGGCGUUGCUGGGAAGUUGACCAAACUUGAUCAUUUAGAGGAAGUAAAAGUCGUAACAAGGUUUCCGUAGGGGAACCUGCGGAAG
rnacentral:rRNA from 1 species